rnacentral:rRNA from 1 species
CAAUAGCGUAUAUUAAAGUUGUUGCGGUUAAAAAGCUCGUAGUUGGAUUUCUGCCGAGGACGACCGGUCCGCCCUCCGGGUGAGUAUCUGGCUCGGCCUGGGCAUCUUCUUGGAGAACGUAGCUGCACUUGGCUGUGUGGUGCGGUAUUCAGGACUUUUACUUUGAGGAAAUUAGAGUGUUUCAAGCAGGCACACGCCUUGAAUACAUUAGCAUGGAAUAAUAAGAUAGGACCUCGGUUCUAUUUUGUUGGUUUCUAGAUCUGAGGUAAUGAUUAAUAGGGAUAGUUGGGGGCAUUCGUAUUUAACUGUCAGGGGUGAAAUUCUUGGAUUUGUUAAAGACGGACUACUGCGAAAGCAUUUGCCAAGGAUGUUUUCAUUGA